UACGUAGGGGGCUAGCGUUGUCCGGAAUCAUUGGGCGUAAAGCGCACGUAGUCGGCUUUGCAAGUCGGGUGUGAAAUCCCCGGGCUCAACCUGGGAACUGCAUCCGAGACUGCAUUGCUAGAGUAUGGGAGAGGGAAGCGGAAUUUCUGGUGUAGCAGUGAAAUGCGUAGAUAUCAGGAGGAACACCAAUGGCGAAGGCAGCUCGCUGGAACGGUACUGACGCUGUGGCGCGAAAGCGUGGGGAGCGAACAGG
rnacentral:rRNA from 1 species